AUGCACCCAAACCUUUCCAAUGGAUUUGGAAAUCGUGCACCCUGCCUAAGAAAAAAAUUCUUUUUUUGGCUACUCUUACAAGAUAGGUUCAAUACUAGAGAUCUGGUUACCAGGAAGAGCUUUCACAUACAAACCACCAGAUGUGUUCUCUAUGAAGAUGAUCCAAAUGAACAUCUAAUGCACCUCUUCUUCAGCUAUGAUUUUAGUCAUAAUUUCUGGAUGAAUAUUGGCUUCCAAUGGAACACAGAUUAUGACUUAUUGGAGAUGUUAAUGGGUGCUAGAAGGCAGAACAACACAUCAUGUUUCAAAGAAUGCCUCAUUGCUGGAUGUUGGAGUCUGUGGAAACAUAGAAACGAUAUCAUUUUUUAUCACAAGGAAAGGAACAUGGCAUAUUGCAUCAACACUUUCAAGGAACACUUCAGUAUGAUUAUCAAAAAAGCUAAGCCAAGUCUGAAAGAAGGCAUGCAGAGUUGGUUGGAUUACUUGUAA
rnacentral:rRNA from 1 species